rnacentral:lncRNA from 1 species
GUUGACCAAAAGUGGAAUGUUUAAUACUCCACAGAAAAAAAAAAAAAGAACCAUGGAAUUCUGAGUCCCACCUGUUAAAUUAUUUGUCCUUCUAAUAGAAGCAGGAAUGAAAGGCGUAUGUUCAACAUCAUUUUGGACCCAUUUUCUGUGGCGGGAAACCAAGGUCCUGCACUAGGCAUUGCAGAUAUGAAGAUGAACUGGAUACAGAGCCCGAUUUCAGGGAGUCACAAGAGUGUGUGCUUAGUGCUGUGAGAGAGAACUUCCCCCUAGACAAAGGACAUCUAGACCAGCCUGGAGGGAGCAGACCCUGUUAAUAUCUCUGAGCUCAUUGCUUUUCUGGAAGAACAUGUUCCGAGUUCCAAUUUGGGAUGAUUCAAAACCUACGUCUGCCCCAGGCUUGAGGCGCCUGGGAUGGGUCACACCCUUUGCCUCCUCUCUCUGGAUGGCAUUUCUAAGUCACACCAGAGAAAGAAGAAAUAAAAGAGCCCUUCUUUAUAUAAAAUUGGAUUUUAACAUUCUCCAAAGUGGUGGCAGCCCCUGGAUUGCAAAUGAAAAGCACCCAGUUUUCCCAGAGAAUAAUCUGGAAGAGGGAAGUGGAGGUGAAUGGCCUCCUUCUGUAAUGGUAAGAACUUCUCCCCAGCCACCUCCAGAAGACAGAGAGAGGCAUCUGGGGGUCGGGGAUGUGAGUUGGCAAGAAGCUGGGAGACGUGACAGCCAGAGAGAUUGGGAGCGGAGACGUGCACCGCCCGGCGCCCUUCACUCAUGUCCUCCCUGGCCUGGGGCUCGGCAAGGCUCCUGCUGUUCCUUCCAUCUUCUCCAAGUGCUGAGAAUGAGGCGAAAGAGGAAGCAAUAGGGUAAAAAGAUACUGAGGACCUCCAAACUCAGAAGUGUUUGUUGAUUGAUUCAUUCAUCAUUCAGAAAGAGCGAGUACCUACUGCACGUCAAACCCACAGCCAAGGCUGGAGGUGCAGAGAUAAAUGAUUCACAGUUGGUGUCUCCAAGAAGCUCCCAGUCUAAGGACCCAAGAAGAAGCUGCAUCUCGCCAAGAGUCUUGGAAUUCUGGCUACAUUCGUAUUUGGGCUUCCUUACUCAUUGUUGAUUUACUGCAUCAAUCUUUUCCAAUGGAUUGGGAGCAUCAAUAUUUUGUAAGAUGAUAGAAAUUGAUAUAACCUGUGUAACCGAGAGGAUUGAAUUAGGUAGAAUCUCUGCCUCAGGGCGGGGCCUGGAGUGAGCCAAGCAAGAUGCUUAUGAGACAAAAUCUAUGGAGGUGUCAUUUUUAAGGUCAUGCUAGUGCAGGGUCUGCCUAAUAUUGGGUUGACAGACUUUGUGCAAGUCAUUUAAACUCCAUGAACUUCAGCUUCCCAUCUGUAAAUCAGGGACAUGCCUACUCAUGGAGCUGUUGAAAAAUUAAUAAUAUAAUGCUUGCAAAAGUGCGUUAUAAACUAUAAAUGGCAUAUAAACACGUGUUGGUUUUAUCAAUAGUAGUAAUAAUAAUUAUUUAUGAUCUUUUUCAUUAAUUCAUCAAUGACAUUAAAAAUAACCAUAACCAAAACAUUCUUUGUGGCAAAUGCAACACAUUAUACUGGAAAAUGGAAUAGAGAAACGGAAGGAUCUGGUAUGCUUUGUAAGAGGCGGUAGUUAAGUAAUGAAAGAUUUUGAGCUGUGAACUCAGACAGACUUGGAUUUUAAUCCCAGCUCUAUCACUUACAAAUGUUUAACCUAAACUCUGAAGUCUCCAUUUCCUCAUUUGUGAAAGGGGAAUAAUAAUAAUGGACUCAUAGGGUUGUUACUGAGGAUUAAAUGAGAUAAUGUGUGUAAUACUCAGCAUUUUGCAGGCCCGUAGAGAGCACUACAUAGAUGUGAGCUACUAUCGUUGUGUGGGGACCCCAGCACAACCAAUUCCUCCUACAGGCCAGAAUGUCUUCUGAGAUACUAAGCUUUUUCCAGUUUCCUUAGCUGAGGUCAUAUUACACAAUGCUAAGUCGCAAAGAUGCUUUUCCUACAGGCUUGAUUUUAGGAAUAAUUAUACUAAAUGUUGUUCCUUCUUUCCUAAGUUUCUCCAGAAUUAUAGCUGUGGUGUAAGUACCCAAGAGU